GUUGCAGGGUGAAGUGACAGACAGAGCCUGACUGUCUGUGAAAAAAGGUAGACAUCCCGGAAAUCUCCAGUUCGGCUAAUGGCCUUUCCUCUGAGUUCCCGUCUGCUGUCAUGAUCAACACAGUGAAUGGUGCAGGAAGAUCUCCAUAUGUAACACACCUUUUAUUAUGGAAUUACUUCCAUUGUGGAAAUCACAUAGAUUCCUAGAAGUUACAAAAUGCAAUUUCAUUCAGGCUGGAAACACAGCUACCUGAUACUGGCACUGGAGAAGAGACCCUUCUCGGUAUGCUUCAGACUUGACUCAGCAACUGGCGUGCGCUGCCCACCUGCUGGCACAGUUAUAUACUCAUGGAAAAGAAGAUUCCAGGCUCACUCCCUCUCUCAGAGCAGCUCCUGAGAAGAUUGGAUUGUGUUUAGUCAGGUGCAUAUAGGACUAAUGCCCUGCCUAUUCUUCACAUAUCCUAAGAUAUUGUACUUUAGUUCUUUCAAAGGAAUUUGUAUAUCUAGGAAGUUUAAAAUGUACUUGGUAAGAUACUGCCUGUUUUCUAGUAAUGAGCUUGGUUAAUGCAAUUGUCUGAUGACACAUUUAGGCUUUCUAAUUGAAUUUUUGUACUGAUGUGGCUUGAAAAGGGUUUACUUGGUGUGUGUAUGUUUUGGACUCUAAUUUUAGUGAAUUACAUGGUAACGAGGAACAGAACUGGUACCUGCUGGCAAAUUCUCAAGGAGGGGAGCUACUCAGUGAUAGAACCAACCAGAUCACCUCUGAAUGCAUGAUUCUGAACAUCUAGAUGCCUGUUGUUUUGUUGUGUAUAUUUUAAUUUAAUACAACCUUUUGUGGGUUCGUUAAAAGCCUUCUCAAAAGUAACACUGAGAAAGCCACUACAGCAUACAUUAAAAAAAAGUGUGCUUUAGGCCAAAAUAAAAUUGUUACUUGGACUUGUAAAAUAAAAGCUAGACAAACUACAUGUAAGGAUAAAUUUCUGACUGGGAGACAGAGCCCAAACACCGAGCACUCUGCUAACAGACCUACAAUUGGUAAAAUUAUGCUCUUGUUUGGCACUGAUCAGACAGUCCCAAAAGUUGUACAGCCACAUAGUGGAAAUCGGACAUAAAACAGCCUUAGCCAUUGGGUGAUUUUUAUUACUUAUCCAAGUAAAAAAGCAUUUUUAUGGCAUGACAGACUGAA